AAGAGGAAGCUCACCUCCUUUGGAACCUCCAUUUUCCAGGCUGCGUUAUGAAGUCAUCACGGCCAAAUUCACACAGCCCAGAAACAGGCCCUGGGAGAGGAUUAACACACACAGGAGCAAGAGAGCCAAAUGAAUGGCAAACACUUCACAAAUUCCCUGCCACGGCAAGUUUUGGCGCUGUCUGGACUGCAAGGGCACUGGAGAAGAGAGACACCACACACCAAGGAAGCCUAGAACAUGCCGUGGGCCUCUGCUGCAUUUUGCUCUUUUUUGUAACGGCUUCUUCAUAAAA